UAUUUUUAGCGUGCAUGGAUUCAAAAUAUGUUGUCAAAACGCCAAAGAAAAAACAUAGGAAAUCGAUUUUUCGCAUCGGCGGUGUUUGGAAAACAUAUAUAUUUUUCGUUCUAUUUGAGUGGGAGCCAGUGAAAAGAACCAGACAAAAGUAUUGAGGAGCCGAGCAGUUUCCUGAAGUGCUGCUGCGGGGAAGAAAUCAUCCUUGCUGAAUCGCCAAUUCCUGUCGGUUUGUCCAGUUUGUCCGGUUGGUCCAGUUUGUCUCCGGUCUUUCGCAAACCCGGAGGAUGACUGCUUCAUUUAUCACGAACAACCAACCUUCACCUGGAUCACAAAUCGAACGCAACUCCCGAGGAAAAGUAUGUGUAUUUGGUGGCUGCCAUGGAUUCGACGCCAGUGCCGAUGAAUCGCUCAACGGCUCAACUAAGCUUAUCAAUCUGGAAGCAGGAGUAAUUAUAACGUAGCUGUAAGGAAUUACUCCGACCCGGUAUGUAUUGUCCAUCCAAGUCAUCGUUGUAACGUCGCUCAACCGGCGCAUCGAUGGACUAGCGAGCGAGAAAUUUUAAAACACUGAAAAUAGUCAUUUGUGAUACCCCCUCGCAAUGCUUUUUGUGUGCGUAUUCUAAAAAUUGGAAUGAACUUAAACAUUUUAAGGACUCCCCGUACACUCUUCAACGUUAUAAAAUUUACCUCUUACGCGCGAGAUAAACUAGUAACCUAUGUGAAUAUGUGUCACUGAUAUGUGAGCGUUAUUAAAAUAAGAAUAAAUAUGAAUUACAUGACAA